GUGGAAAGCAAAAAGCAGAAAAUAAGAGAUUAAUCCUGCACGAGUCCAUUGGUCGGUGCACAACGGAGUGUAUUUUGGGAGAGAUCAUGGAAGUGCAUUAAACAAACCAGGCUGGGAAGAGAAGAGUGGUGCACAAUGAGGGAUGAUAUUAGUACAGCUGCUGCUUCUCUGCACCUGCAAGGUGCUCAGCAAGGUGGAUGCCUGUUUGUGCCGAUGAAUGAAAAUUGCCCUCACAGAUUACCAGCCAUCCUCAUUGCUGCCACUGCAUUUUCUGGAGUAGGUAAGAAGCCACGGUGCCAGAGAAAUUGGAAAAAAGCCAGCAGGAAAGGCAAAAGCAGAGCUGAACUGCAGAAUACUCCUCUACAGGUGGGAAAGUGGUGCCGUCUCUACUCUUCUGAAGACGAGCAAUCCUGGCUGAAAACAGCACUGAACCUGCCGUGACUCAGUCUAUUUCAGUGAAAAUCUCUGUCUACAUAUCUUCCUCUGGAGGGCUUUAAAGGAAAAGCUCAAAGAAAGUCACAACUGUAAACAAAAUCAGCUCAGGAACUUCUCUUACAUUCGAAUGACCGGGGACAGAACGAGGUGUCAGCGUUUACUGACAGCCCACUCUGCAGAAUCUGUCCCUGCUCAUUUGCUCAUAGAACUGCAGCUCUCACAAUAAUCCAGCUGUCAAGUGCAAUUAAGAAGGAAAACCAUCGCAUCUAGAGUGCAAAAUAAUUAAUGUUAGCAAUCCGAAAAGUCUUCCCUUGGCAAGGAAGGGGUUAAAAAGCCUGUAAAAGUUCUGAAGAGCUGUUCAGCAGGAUAUUAAACAUAGUGCAUUGCCAUCAUCACCACCACGAGCAUAUUAUUGUUAUUAGUACCAAGACUGCCAUUAGCGGGAUAUUCAUUAAUGUUAAAAGUCACAGUCAGCGUGAGACUCAGAGCCUCUGAGCUCUGGAGGAGGAGGUGGAAAGUUACCUGGUGGAGGUUCAAGAAUGGCUUUUCCUUUUUUGCUGCUUUUCUUCGGUUUUAACUCUUUCUUGCUUGGUUUGAACCCUGGGUGUUCCUCUGGCUCUGAAGCACGGAUAGUUCCUUCCUCUCCAGGUUGCUCCGUGAAAGAAAAAUACUCUUCACCGGGGUAUGGAAAGGAGUAAUAGUGAUCCCUGUUGCUAAUCUCUUGCAGGUAAUAAUCCUGUUCGUCCAUGGGGACAGCCCAGGACAGACCCCCCAGCACGGCCAGCCCGAGGGCACAGAGAGCAGGGCACAGCUGAGAGGAGCAUGAGCU
rnacentral:lncRNA from 1 species